GGCUGGUCUGAAGGUAGUGAGUUAUCUCACUUAAUUGUUCACAGUCACAGAUUGAACUCCUUGUUCUACUACUUUCCACCCUUCUCACUACUGCACUUGACUAGUCUAAA
rnacentral:Y_RNA from 1 species